rnacentral:rRNA from 1 species
CAGCCAGACUCCUACGGGAGGCAGCAGUGAGGAAUAUUGGUCAAUGGGCGAGAGCCUGAACCAGCCAAGUCGCGUGAGGGAAGACGGUCCUAUGGAUUGUAAACCUCUUUUGCCGGGGAGCAAAAAGCGGUACGUGUACCGCAUCGAGAGUACCCGGAGAAAAAGCAUCGGCUAACUCCGUGCCGGCAGCCGCGGUAAUACGGAGGAUGCGAGCGUUAUCCGGAUUUAUUGGGUUUAAAGGGUGCGUAGGCGGGACCUUAAGUCAGCGGUAAAAUUGCGGUGCUCAACGCCGUAGAGCCGUUGAAACUGGGGUUCUUGAGUGAGCGAGAAGUAUGCGGAAUGCGUGGUGUAGCGGUGAAAUGCGUAGAUAUCACGCAGAACCCCGAUUGCGAAGGCAGCAUACCGGCGCUCAACUGACGCUGAGGCACGAAAGUGCGGGUAUCGAACAGGAUUAGAUACCCCAGUA